AGCAGCAGCAGCAGCAGCAGCAACAACAACAAAAACAGCAACAACAACAACAGCACUAGCGCUAGCACCAGCACCAGCAGGGUGUUAGUAGGAAUGAUGCAGAUAGGUGAUGAAUAUAGAAGCUGAUAUUUUUGUGUCUGCAAAUAAAAUGAAGGGAAGGAGACACUUUGACAUUGUGCCAUCUGCCUGACAUCCAAGUGCUCAGGAUUCAGUGGAAGGAUUGUUACAUGUUUGAGGCCAGUCUGGGAUUCUAUAAGCAAAUCAUCUUAAAUGGAGCAACAGUGCUAAUAUGAAAAUAAUUCAGAGAAGGGGUGAAGGAACUUAUCUGUUAGAAUUCUACAAUAUAAAUGAAUCAUGCUGAAGGAGAAGGGUCAGAAGACACAGAACAUGGGCAUGAAGUGGUUCUACUUCUGUAUUUGACUUUAUUCCCCAUCCUGGCCCACCUGACAGUUCCACAUUCCAUACCUCUUCCCUGCACACCCUGUGUCUCCACAAGGAUAUCCCCACCCCACCAGACCUCUAAACUUCCUGGGGCCUCCAGUCCCUUGACAGGUGCAUCUUCUCUGACUGAACCCGGACCAGAACCUCUAAACCUCUGCUAGUGUAUGCUGCCCGGUUGGUGAUCCAG
ensembl:lncRNA